UACGGGGGGCAAGCGUUGUUCGGAAUUACUGGGCGUAAAGGGCUCGUAGGUGGCCAACUAAGUCAUACGUGAAAUCCCUCGGCUUAACCGGGGAACUGCGUCUGAUACUGGAUGGCUUGAGGUUGGGAGAGGGAUGCGGAAUUCCAGGUGUAGCGGUGAAAUGCGUAGAUAUCUGGAGGAACACCGGUGGCGAAGGCGCAUCCUGGACCAAUUCUGACACUGAGGAGCGAAAG
rnacentral:rRNA from 1 species